GCCUCAGUGGUCGAGUUGGAUAAGACACUCGCCUCGGAAAGAGAGGUUCCAGGUUCGAAUCCUGGCUGAGGUA
rnacentral:tRNA from 1 species